AAGAUGUUUCCUUAAAUGUGUGUAAAGCAAAGUUAGAAUACAAAGGGCUCUGAAUUGUGUGUGUUUACGGCGUAUUCGAUCUGUGCAUGUUGUACCGUAUUUAAUCUGUUGACAGAGUUUGCUUAUUUCUGUACGGCACCCGAUCGCCGCUUUAAAUGUAACUUCGUCUAAAAAUCCGAAUGAUAUUGAGUAGAUUUGUCAUGUCCUUUUUAUUGAACUGAAUACGUUGAACAAUGGAAAUAUUUUAGAGUAUACGUUUAAGAGAAACUCAACUUCAAAAUCAGGAUUAAGGAUAUGCUAUACAUUUGUAGUAUGUAAAAUUUCAAGAAAACGAACAUUUAACAUGUUUAUAUAUUAUAUAUAUAUAUAUAUAUAUAUAAUACCAAACCCAGUAUCCCAAACAGAUUGUGUGUCGUUUCCUUUAAUGAUGAAUUGUUUAUAUAUAGACUGAGUCCAUUCCUUCCGUCAGUUUUCUAUUUUGAAUCACAGAGGAGAGGAACUCUUAGAAGCAGAUAGAAGAGGAAUGAACAAAACAUUUAUAGCUGAUACGACGGCAGAGGAGUAUGAAAUUGUUAUGUCUUGUAAUCCCAACACCGGUACAUCAAAUGAAUCCCUG